rnacentral:misc_RNA from 1 species
AUUAAUUUGAGCGGCAACGUUCAUAUCAAUCUGCACUAAACAAAUCAUUAGAGGAAUGAUUGCAAAAUCAAACCUCUGAAGGUUAAAAAAAUGCUGAGAAGUAACAGCAUUAAAAAAAACAUUUAGACCAUAGUUGAGAGUCUUAAAAUCCAACCAGUUAGUAGAGACUAAAAAUUUACAAAACCAUAAACUCGAUCUGAUACCUGAAAUGCCUUU